CUGGGAGGCCUCAGGAAACUUACAAUCAUGGCGAAAGUCAAAGGCGAAGCAGAUUAACUUGGAGAACACCUAUACAUUUGGAAGAUGAAUCUUCUCAUGCAGGAUAUGAGGAGAUCUUUCAAACAGGAGUGGGACAAACCUUCUCAAGCAAAUCACGAAGAAAACGGAACUCAAACAAAAUCGCGGGGGAGAAGAGGCCACCUGCAGAUGCAGCAGGGUUCAAAAGGCUCCACUGUGGGUACCUCACGCCGCUGUUCCAAGAACCAGUAAUUCUUCCUGAGUGACUCCCCUUGGCUGAUUUCAACAUGGAUUUCAAUAUGGAAGCGGAGCUUAAUGAAAUCAGGGUGAUGCCGUCUGUGGAGUUAGCACCCCCAGGACACAGAGCAUGGAAGGAAGGGCAGACAACAGAUCUGAGAACACAGAAUAACCAGCAAGUGCACAACUUUCUCAUAAAUCCACUGGAUUAAAUUUGUUAUUUAAGCUGUUCAGUUA